UCCGAUAUGGUGUAGUGGCUAACAUCGCUCGCUUUCACCGAGCAGCCCCGGGUUCGAUUCCCGGUGUCGGAA
rnacentral:tRNA from 1 species